rnacentral:rRNA from 1 species
UACGGAGGGUGCAAGCGUUAUCCGGAUUCACUGGGUUUAAAGGGUGCGUAGGCGGCCCUGUAAGUCAGUGGUGAAAUACGGCAGCUCAACUGUCGAGGUGCCAUUGAUACUGCAGGGCUUGAGUACAGACGAGGUAGGCGGAAUUGACGGUGUAGCGGUGAAAUGCUUAGAUAUCGUCAAGAACACCGAUAGCGAAGGCAGCUUACUAGACUGUAACUGACGCUGAGGCACGAAAGUGUGGGGAUCAAACAGG